GAUAAACGCUGGCGGCGUGCAUGAGACAUGCAAGUCGAACGAGGACCGGGCUUGCUCGAUCCUAGUGGCGGACGGCUGAGUAACGCGUAGGUGACCUACCCCGAAGUGGGGAAUAACUGCCCGAAAGGGUGGCUAAUACCGCAUGUGGUCGCACGUUCAUUCGUGCGAGUAAAGCCGCAAGGCGCUUCGGGAGGGGCCUGCGUCCGAUUAGCUCGUUGGUGGGGUAAUGGCUUACCAAGGCGACGAUCGGUAGGUGGUCUGAGAGGACGAUCACCCAGACUGGGACUGAGACACGGCCCAGACUCCUACGGGAGGCAGCAGUCGGGAAUUUUGCUCAAUGGGGGAAACCCUGAAGCAGCAACGCCGCGUGAGGGAUGAAGGCCUUCGGGUUGUAAACCUCUUUUGUCAGGGACGAUGAUGACGGUACCUGGCGAAUAAGCCACGGCUAACUACGUGCCAGCCGCCGCCGUAAAAC
rnacentral:rRNA from 1 species